AUGUGAGAAUGGUUCCUGCCUGGGUCACCCAAGCCAAGCAAAAGCAGGAAGCAUGGGGACCAUUUGUCUUCUUUUGGAAAUAGGAACCCGGCACCGGAGCUGGUGCAGGGCCUGGAGC